AUACGGAAGGUCCGGGCGUUACCCGGAUUUAUUGGGUUUAAAGGGAGCGCAGGCGGAGAUGCAAGCGUGACGUCAAAUUUCGGGGCUCAACCCCGUCUCGCGUCGCGAACUGCGUCCCUUGGUUGCGGGAAGGGGAGGCGGAACUCGUGGUGUAGCGGUGAAAUGCAUAGAUAUCACGAAGAACUCCGAUCGCGAAGGCAGCCUUCCGGCCCGUCAACGACGCUCAUGCUCGAAGGUGCGGGUAUCAAACAGGAUUAGAUACCCUGGUAGUCCGCACAGUAAACGAUGGACACCCGCGGUUUGGCCUGUAUGGCUGAGCCGCCAAGCGAAAGCGUUAAGUGUCCCACCUGGGGAGUACGCCGGCAACGGUGAAACUCAAAGGAAUUGACGGGG
rnacentral:rRNA from 1 species